rnacentral:lncRNA from 1 species
UGGCCUGUGGCGCGGCACCUCGAGCCCUGCCUCCUCGUCUCCGCUCGGCCCCCGCCCGGGGAGCCCGUGUCCAACUUUCCUCGGUCCCGUUGGGCCAGGGCCACUCUGAUCUCCUCAGCCUCGUCUUAACUCACCGGUUUUUUCCAAAUAAGGUCACGUUCCCAGGCCUGGGAGGAGGACCUGACCGUGUCUUUUCAGGGACACGAUUCGCCCCCUAACGCGACCUUCAUGAUCAGCCUUGACCUGAAGGGGCCGCCUCGUCUCUCGCCAGCCCAGGUCCCGCUGCCGCAGGGUGCACUCCUGCAGACCCAAGGCCUGGCUCAGAAAGGCCUGCCGGAAAGGCGAUAUUUGGACCCUUAAAAAAAAACCCAAGAAGACAAAAGCCAAAACACCGGGGGAGAGGGAAGAAAAGAACCGCCCCAAACGUGGCAACACCUGGAUUGCAAUCUUUGAUAAGAACAACCAGCCUUGCACAGAUGCAAAUUCAGAGUCAUAAACGGAAUAUCGACAGCAAUUACAACCACAUCGCCAUCCCUCAUACAAUCAAAUGCCCCAGCUGCCAUCCGAAGAAAAUGUAGGUUUGAAAAGCUGCGAGAGAACACAUUAUCCAACAAACAAAGCGAGCCUCGCUGGAGAAGCCUGGGAAAGGAUGCUCUGAGAACUCUGGAGGGAGGCUCUAAAUGGCUUCUUACAUUUCUGAUGGGAAAAAAAAAAGUUAAAAUAAACAUUUAAACCAAAGAUCUCACUGUGUAACUCAAUUAUGAACCCCACCAGAAUGAAUUUAGCAGCAUGCUUCUUUUGGGUUCUAUCUGGGAAGUGGGAUGAAGUUGCAGAACAACCUUAUGCCUUUAGGGGGAGUGGGAAAGGGUGUAUUAGUUAGUUAGUGCUGCGUAACAAAAAGGCCUAGAACACAAU